GACGAACGCUGGCGGCGUGCUUAACACAUGCAAGUCGAACGGAAAGGCCCUGCUUUUGUGGGGUGCUCGAGUGGCGAACGGGUGAGUAACACGUGAGUAACCUGCCCUUGACUUUGGGAUAACUUCAGGAAACUGGGGCUAAUACCGGAUAGGAGCUCCUGCUGCAUGGUGGGGGUUGGAAAGUUUCGGCGGUUGGGGAUGGACUCGCGGUUUAUCAGCUUGUUGGUGGGGUAGUGGCUUACCAAGGCUUUGACGGGUAGCCGGCCUGAGAGGGUGACCGGCCACAUUGGGACUGAGAUACGGCCCAGACUCCUACGGGAGGCAGCAGUGGGGAAUAGUGCACAAUGGGAGGAAGCAUGAUGCAGCAACGCCGCGUGCGGGAUGACGGCCUUCGGGUUGUAAACCGCUAUCGCCUGUGACGAAGCGUGAGUGACGGUAAUGGGUAAAGAAGCACCGGCUAACUACGUG
rnacentral:rRNA from 1 species